rnacentral:rRNA from 1 species
CCUUCCUGGCUCAGAGCGAACGGUGGCGGCAGGCUUAACACAUGCAAGUCGAGCGGGCGUAGCAAUACGUCAGCGGCAGACGGGUGAGUAACGCGUGGGAACGUACCUUUUGGUUCGGAACAACACAGGGAAACUUGUGCUAAUACCGGAUAAGCCCUUACGGGGAAAGAUUUAUCGCCGAAAGAUCGGCCCGCGUCUGAUUAGCUAGUUGGUGAGGUAACGGCUCACCAAGGCGACGAUCAGUAGCUGGUCUGAGAGGAUGAUCAGCCACAUUGGGACUGAGACACGGCCCAAACUCCUACGGGAGGCAGCAGUGGGGAAUAUUGGACAAUGGGGGCAACCCUGAUCCAGCCAUGCCGCGUGAGUGAUGAAGGCCCUAGGGUUGUAAAGCUCUUUUGUGCGGGAAGAUAAUGACGGUACCGCAAGAAUAAGCCCCGGCUAACUUCGUGCCAGCAGCCGCGGUAAUACGAAGGGGGCUAGCGUUGCUCGGAAUCACUGGGCGUAAAGGGUGCGUAGGCGGAUCUUUAAGUCAGAGGUGAAAGCCUGGAGCUCAACUCCAGAACUGCCUUUGAUACUGGGGAUCUUGAGUUCGGGAGAGGUGAGUGGAACUGCGAGUGUAGAGGUGAAAUUCGUAGAUAUUCGCAAGAACACCAGUGGCGAAGGCGGCUCACUGGCCCGAUACUGACGCUGAGGCACGAAAGCGUGGGGAGCAAACAGGAUUAGAUACCCUGGUAGUCCACGCCGUAAACGAUG